CACAACGAAAAUAAAAAUAAGAAGCCUUUUAGGAACUCACUGAACAUAUUCUCAUUGCCGCAGCUGCAAAACAAAUACGCACAUUUUGCCGCCAGAUGCAGAAUGCUAUCGAGAAGAAUACCGAGAAAUCCAUGAAAUCCGAGAAAUCCAACAGAUCUGAGCACUCCGUUCGCCGGUCAGCAAACUUUGGGCUCUGCCUUUUGGCUCUUCUAAUUAAGAUGAAUUAAGCAAAAUCAUUUCGAUUAGAAAAACGGUGGAGCAGCAGCA
rnacentral:sRNA from 1 species